rnacentral:lncRNA from 1 species
AUGUUCUACUCUACUACAUUUGUAACUUAUCUGUUAGCACCUAAUAUUUGGGAAUCUUUAUUUUCUGAUCACUCUGAUGUACAUGGAUUUAAUGAAAAUGGAACCACGCUGAAGUACGUAAUAAAUCUCUCACCUGUUGCACUGUGUGCUUCCAGGUUCCCUAGGAACAUUAGUGUUCAUAACCUCAUUGUAGGGGCAGCAGGCAGUGUGCACACGUGGAUUGCUUCACCUAAUGCUGAGGCCAAACUGAGACUGCAAAGAAUAUUUUCCAGUUUGUACCUCUGUCAUUUACUGCUACACAGAGGACUGCCUACUGAGCCAAGCCUGAAAAUGGCUGAUUCCUGGGCUGUUCAGGAGGGUGUCUGCUUCCCAGGGCUUUUUCUGAGGCAGCUCAUCUCCGUCAGUGUGCCCACCUCUCACAAAAGCCCCUGUUUGCUUCUUACAGUAAAACUGCGUCCAUAGCAAACUGAAGAAUGCAGCAGCUGUGUGCAACACACACAUGCUUUUAAGUGUUUCAGAAAUAACUGUUUCAUGUGUGCAUGCAUGUGCCUGUGCAGAACCUUCCAGGAAACUUAAAAGCAAGUUCUUUUUGGUAGCCUAGCUCUUCUCUGAUGAGAUAUGCCAGGAAAUUAGAGGAGCUGCCCCUCCCAACUAUUCUUAGUGUAUUACUUGUAGCAUAGGUAUGGAGUAUGGACCCAGAUCACAACUUCACCGUUUUUAAGGUGUGGGCAUCAGAUUUCCAUCAUCUUAAUGCAUUUAUAUAUGGCCACAUGAUUUACAUGCUACCCAUAAACACCCAUAAACAUCCCAUAAGCAUGUAAUAACAGCACAAAGACAUACAGACACGUGGUUCCUGUGAAGGGUCUGUUUGGCCCACAACAAGGAAAUGCAUCUCUGCAGUAAGAUCUCUCUGACCAAGACAGAUAUUAUUUGAUGUAAGAGAAAAUGGACAAAGGAAAAUACUCUGCUAUUUCAGGGUGUUCAGAGAAUGAGCUGUGCCCUAUCCCUCUAUCUUUUUAUUCAGAAGCUUUGUCUACCCUGAAGAAGGCAUCACCGCAUGUCAUCUGUGCUUUUAGCAGCUUCAUUUCAGCAGCAGUAGAAGAGGUGAAAUUGAAAUCAGAAGGUCUUAAUUUCACAGGGAAGGAAAUUUGUUCUGAGACGAAAGGUUUUUCUCUCUUGAGUCACCAAAAUAUUAUUACCCUUGAUUCAAUUUGGAAGCUCUUUAGGAUGCUGUAGUCAUAUGGCUGGCUGGUGGUCUGGGUAACCUCAUCACUGCUGUGCUCAUGAACAACGUGCUGCAUGCUGGUCACACUGCACUGUUUGACUCAUGCCUGUGAAGGUCAAACACAAGGGCCUCAUCUGGGGGCUGUGAUCGGCAGGGGCAUUGAGCUGGUAGCCAUGUAUAGGAAUAAAUCAGUCCUUUCAGCAGGCGUGGGUGGAGGA